ensembl:lncRNA
UUGGUCUGGCAUGAACAGUAACUGAAGAUGGCUAAUAUUAGCAAAUGUUGGCUAGCUUUGGCAGCUACAGUUUUAACCUGCUAUGACCAGCAGUUGAGGGUGGCUAAUGCUAGCUAGUAUUUACUAACUUUUUCCACUACGGUCUUAGUUUGACAUGAAUAGUAACUGAAGAUGGCUAUUGGCAGCUAAUGUUGGCUAAUUUUGGCAGCUACAGUCUCAAUCUGUCAUGACCAGUAUCUUAAGAUGGCUAAUGUGAGCUAAUAUUGGCUAACUUUGGCAGCUACAGCUUUAUUCUUGUAUGACUAAUAGCUUAAGGUGGCUAAUGAGAGCUAAUAUUUGCUAACUUUUGCUACUACAAUAUUAGUAGUUUAUAAUUAACUCAAGUUAGGUAAUGCUGUUUGCUAACUUUGGCUGCAAUAUUUUUUAUUCUGGUAUGACCAGUACUCAAAGGUGGCUAAUGCUAAUUACUUUCAGUUAAUUUCCCUUCUACUGUCUGAGCCUGGCGUGAGCUAGCCAAUGUUAGCUUUAACAGUAGUCCUAGCCUGGAUUGGCCAGUAUCUUAUGUCGGCCAUUACAAACUAACUUUAAAUAGAAAUUCUAAUGGAACAGAUAUUUCUUUGUUGGUUUGUGUAACUAUCUUCAUGGUUCCUCUAAACUUAUGGUACUCGCUUUGAAAGUUUUCCAAGCGCUAAUGUCUGUAGCAACAAUGAAAGCAACUGGCUGGAGAAUGUUGGGAGGAAUUCCAAGGUGAGAAACCACCUUGCUUUAAAAUGUUGGAACAUAUGUUGAAUUUUUGGGAUUUUUUUGUUGUUGUUGUUGUUGACACUUUUUCUUGUUCAAAGGGGGAAAACAAAACAAGGAACUGUUUGUUUUAUACAUGGAGGACUCCAAUCCAUACUUGAGUAGUAUGUCUGCCUGGACUCUUAUGGACCUGGGGACAUUUCUGUUACCUAGACCCUCACAUACUUGCAGAUUUGGAGAGUACAACCCUGACUGAAGUCUUCUGAGGCUGGACCACCAACUCAAACACCAAAGCUCACUAUGUGGGUCCCUCUCCAUCUCCCCACACAUCCACCAACCACUGGAACACAUCUCCAAAGUUCUGCUGGACCAGCUCAGCUUCCCCUCAGAAGAAGUGCCUGCCACCUGCCAGAUGAAGGAGCCUUUUGAGAGGCAGCUGGCAUCGUGAUUGGACUGUACUUUGGUCUGUUCCAAUCCAGCUUCAGCUCCAGAGACGGCAGGCGGGACGAGUCAACGGAGGCCUGGUGGACGAAGGCAUGAAGCUGAGUACAAUCCAGAAAACAACAGAGGAGGAGUGCAGCAGCCCAGAGCCAGAACAACUAGAGUAGCAUCGUAUGUCUCUGAGAAAACAUCAUAGUAUAGCCUUUGGUAUGAAAAAACGCCAUCAUAUGCAUCGUAUAUUGUACAAAUAACAAGUCAAAGGAAAGAGACAUACAUUGUAGGAUUGUAGUAAUUGUGGGCUGACUGAU